rnacentral:lncRNA from 1 species
AGUUCCCCGGCUGGAUGCGGUGACUGGUGCCAGUGCUCAGGCGCCCGCUGCCCUUGACCUCCCGCCCCGCGAGCCCUAACUCAGCGCAGGAGGACCGGCUGCCGCCGCCGCCGCCGCCAGAUCCACACAACUUAAAGAUCUGCUGCCGAGUGAAUGGGGAAGUCGUCCAGAGCAGCAACACCAACCAGAUGGUAUUCAAGACAGAGGACCUGAUAGCCUGGGUCUCCCAGUGAGUGACAAGGGCUGUCCUGCCAGCCCCGCUCCACCUGCCACACAUGUGGAGGCUGACCUGAGCCCUCCACCUUUGGCUGUGGCCACUCAGCCAGCCCCUGGUCUCACUGGGUCCUUUUGCUUUGCUCCAGGUUUGUUACCUUUUACCCAGGGGAUGUCAUCCUAACUGGGACCCCCCCAGGUGUCGGUGUAUUCAGGAAACCUCCUGUCUUUCUCAAGGUAGGUUAGCGAAAAGCAAAGAGAGCAAGGGCCCCAAAGGCCUGGCAGGCUUGGCUCA